GCUUACGGCCACCCCGCCUGGUUCACGCCCGAUCUCGUUUGAUCUCGGAAGCUAAGAUAGGUUGGGCCUGGUUAGUACUUGAAAAGGAGACCGCCUGGGAAUACCAGGUGCUGUAAGCA
rnacentral:rRNA from 1 species